CCUACGGGUGGCAGCAGUGAGGAAUAUUGGUCAAUGGACGGGAGUCUGAACCAGCCAAGUAGCGUGAAGGAUGACUGCCCUAUGGGUUGUAAACUUCUUUUAUAUGGGAAUAAAAUGUUCCACGUGUGGGAUUUUGUAUGUACCAUAUGAAUAAGGAUCGGCUAACUCCGUGCCAGCAGCCGCGGUAAUACGGAGGAUCCGAGCGUUAUCCGGAUUUAUUGGGUUUAAAGGGAGCGUAGGUGGAUUGUUAAGUCAGUUGUGAAAGUUUGCGGCUCAACCGUAAAAUUGCAGUUGAAACUGGCAGUCUUGAGUACAGUAGAGGUGGGCGGAAUUCGUGGUGUAGCGGUGAAAUGCUUAGAGAUCACGAAGAACUCCGAUUGCGAAGGCAGUUCACUGGACUGCAACUGACACUGAGGCUCGAAAGUGUGGGUAUCAAACAGGAUUAGAUACCCGAGUAGUC
rnacentral:rRNA from 1 species